GGCCAUGAAGACUUCAUUGGAGCUGUGGUGAGCGGAGGUUGCUGUGAGGAAAACAACACUUACACAUUUUAAAGUUCAGGAAUAGAACCUGAAGCUGUGGUGAGCGGAGGUAUGCUGUGAGGAAACGACGCUCAUUUAAAAGUUCAGGAAUACAACCUGAGGGUGAUGUCACAAGGAUAAUGGCUACCAAGGAUCAUGGAAGGAGGACGAGGAUGUCUUAUGGUCUGAGGAUGCAAGUUUCUAGGUAAGAUGACUUAAGAAAGUAAAAUACAGUAUAAGAUAUUACUGUCUGAAUGUAUCUAUUUUUUGUAUUUUAUUUACUGCAAGGGUGAAAUGCGAAACCAACUGCCUGUGAAGUACGGAGUCCAGUGAAAACUGCACAUCAAUUGUGUCUGCGUUCGUGCUGGUGACGUCCAUCCGCCGAUAAUCAAGAAGACAACCGCUGGUUCCUGGCUUCAUAGAGGAGUGUUCCUGUCUCCCUGGUCGAUGAGAGAAUGCAUUGCAGUCUGAUGGAUCAACAACAGAUGUGAUGUCACAAGGAUAAUGGCUACCAAGGAUCAUGGAAGGAGGACGAGGGUGUCUUAUGGUCUGAGGAUGCAAGUUUUCAAGUAAGACGACUUAAGAAAGUAAAAUACAGUAUAAGUUAUUACUGUCCAUAAGUAUUAAGUCGUAAAAAAGUGCUUUUGAAAACUUAAUGUGGCUUAUUUUGAAUGCCCAAACAAAACUAGCUCAAUAAAACCAUGCAGCUUAACCCUUAACAAAACCUAAACCAUCCUUUCUUUCCUCUGAUGUGUUCAUAAGUGUUCAUCAAAGUUUAACGAAAAAUUUACAGUUUAUUUUACGAUUUGCUAAAUGCAGACAAACGAGUUGAUGAGAAAUAUUUGACUCUAAAAAUUCAAAGAAAUAAACCCUAACGAAUAAUAUGAUAGAAAAACUCAAAUCCACAUUUAUGUUGACCUAAAUUAUUCCCAAACUAAAUGGAAUAAUUCUAUUUGGAAGUGCAUUUUCUGAAUGUAUCUAUUUUUUGUCUUUUAUUUACUGCAAUUGUGAAAUGCGAAACCAACUGCCUGUGUCGUACGGAGUCCAAUGAAAACUGCACAUCAAUGGCGUCUGCGUUCGUACUGGUGACGUCCAUCCGCCGAUGACCAAGAAGACAAACGCUGGUUGCCUGGCUUCAUAGAGGAGUGUUCCUGUCUCCCUGGUGGAUGAGAGAAUGCAUUGCAGUCUGAUGGAUCAACAACAGAUGUAAUAAUGAUGGCGCUCCCCUAGAGGUCAUCCGCUAGAAGGCGUCUAUACAAGAAUGCUACCAAUGGCCAUUGAUGUAACAUUUUUAGAUCGGCUGAAGGACACAGCACACAACCAGAAACAACUGAGCUUAAGAUGCUGAUGCUGGACGGGGCGUUGAAGGCGGCCAUCAGAGGUUCCCAAGAUGGCGUCAGCUAAAGACAACCUGUCGCUCAACUACUACUUACAUACAGGUUAUUGUGAUGACUACUUUUCUCCCAUCCUGUCAACAUGGACCAUGAAGAUGUGACAUCACAACACAAAGAUAGAUACGUCAUGGCUUGAGGAGAUAUACAUCAAGUAUUUCUACAACUACUUACCAGGAUCCUUGAAGGAUGAACAGAGUGGAACAACUAAGAGUUGAUUACGUCAAGAUGCUGAGCCACAUUGUGCAGCACCAAUAAAACUGUUGCUUCAACACAGUCUUUGUAAAGGAGGACUGUUUCUUCAUGAUGACUGCCCUCAUCUAAGGUUGUAUCCAAAUUGGUGGUACCAGCUUCGACUGUUACUAAGGAUGUACUUCGACCAUUGAGUAGACGUUCCAAGAGCAUGAACAACAUUGAACAAACCUUCCAAUGGAUCUUGAUAUUACAGCAUGAUCAUCCGGAUUCAUCUGCAGAUUGAACUCAGUUACACAACAAAGUUUUCUUAUUGUGGAACAAUGACUUGAAUAUUAGUAUUGUUUGAAGCUUUGCAUGGUGAAGAGAAAUAGGAAGAAACUAUAAAUAUGUAUAUUUAACUUGUGGGUACACUCUUUUGUGUGAGUGUUGGCUGUGAAAAGACCCUUUAUUUGUGUGAGUGUUUGAUCAAGGCUGAUUUGUCAUGGUGUCCCAGACUGCCGUGUGCUUGAUGUUUCUUGAUUCUCAUGGAUAUGAAUGCAGCAGGUCUCCUCUAUGUGUCAUCGCAUUCGGAGGGAAUGCUGGUCUUCUGUGUGAAGUGAUGUUUGAAUCUUGUUUGUUUCUGGGUUGAGCUUGGCUGACGAUUUGUUGGAGCUUGUGAGAUGCAUGGCCGAUGUAUGGAAGGGUGAUGGUAGCCUUGAACUGCGGACUUUUGUCUACUUGUGUGAUGAGGAAUGGCUUGGGCUGGCUGCAGGAAUUGAAGGUCUUUUAUUUAGUCGUUGAGUUGUAGUGAUGUCUUGAUGUGAUGAAGUUCCUGCUUCAAGCUGCCUUGUUCAACUUAUUUUGUAGACAGAAUACGUAAUAACUUGUAAUGAGAUAAUUCCUUACAAGUUAAUGUAUUCACAUUUUUAAUGUUGCAUGUUUGUAAUGAGGUAUUUCAUUACACUCAUGCAAAACAUUCUUGCAAUGAAAUACCUCAUUGCAAGUAUGUCAAAGUUUCAAGUGCGUAAUGAAGUACUGCAUUACAAGCAUGAAACAAAUUAUGUAAAUUUGUAAUGCAAUUGCUCAUUACAAUUAUGAAACAAUAGGGUAAACUCAUUACAAAUAUAAAGACAACAAGCUUGUCAAGAAGUGUAUAUGAGUGGUUUAACAUUACAAACUAAUAAAAUUUAGUUUUACUUUUACUGAAUUUGAAUAUUGUAUUAGAUGAAUGGUACCUUUUAUUGUGUGUCACUCUGUCUUUCCGUUAUUCAUCCAAACAAUAUUAUAAGUGUUCUGGGGGUACCCCCACAUGGUGGCCACCAUGGUUUUUUUUGUAUUAGUUAUUAUUUAAGGACAUGUAAAUAUUGUGACUCACAUUGGGUUCAAUAACUCUUAUUGAGGUUUUAAAUUACAAUGGUCAUGACAUUGUACUGUGUUCCUUGAGGGUGUCUGUGUCCUCAUUGUUAUGCUAAUUAUUCACAAUGUUCAUUGUUACGAGCUAGGCAGCAUGUUGAGUUUUUGCUCAAUAGAGGGCGCUGUUCGCCGGGCACCGAGUACUAGUUGUUAUAUAAUUCAUUACAAUGGUUAUAACAAAGGUGACAACAUUUAUAUUAUCUACUGUUAAUUAUGUUGCAUUAAUGUCACACUCAGUAUCCAUAAUCUUUAUACCUUGCAAUAGUUGAGAUUGCUCGUUAGUUAUUAUUUUUUUUUAUACAAAGGACAUGACAUUAGUUUUAUUAUCUGGUGUUAAUUUUGUGGCAAAAAUGCCACACUAAGAUUGGUAUUGUGAUAUACCAUUCACAACAGUUUUAUAGUUGAGAGUACUUGUUAACAAGGUUUUUUUUAAUUACAAAAUUGUUGACAAGUUUGAUAUUCGCCUAUGUAGAUAGCUAUUUGAUGCUAAUAUCAGGGUUUUCAAGAGUACUUUCUCACAAGAGUGUUUCUUCACUCUGCAGACAAAGGGAGCUAGCCACUAUUGUAAUGACUUCCGAUGUAGGAUAUUGAUUGAAAUUAUAUAAUGUAUCUUAUCUUAAACAAAGGAAAGUAAUAAAUUGGUUUUACUGCAACAAAACGGUAUAUAAAUUUUCUUUAACCGCCUAAUCAUGGUCAACAACUUUAAUUGAACAAUUGAAAGCAUUUCUGAAGUCAUAGUUAUUAUAGAUAAGUUUAAGUGGGGUUUUCCAGAGUAUUUGUUAUCUCUGGUUUUUCACUCCGUAGGCUAGGUAUCAAAGGGGGGUAACAUUUCAAAGAAGCAAUUGUUGUAAUGGUUACAAACUUGGAUGUAUUAUGAUCCCUUUAACUGUUGU